CCAUGACUGACUGCUUUGCAGCACUAGGGCAUGAAGUGCGUUCAGAGGAGCCUGGAAACCCUGCAGACUGUUCAGUGUAAUAAAAAGCUGUUCUUUAUCUCUUGUUUUAAAUACAGUUAAUCCUGUUUAUUCAGCAAACACAUUUAAGAGCAACUUUGAGGGAAAAAAAACAAACAGAAAAUGCUGGAAAUUGCCUUUUUCUAUCUGCAGUGGUGCAGGGCAGCAUCCCGCACUCUUUGCAUAAGCACAAGCCCCACUGACGUCAAUGGGAGUUUUUCCGGGGCGAGGGCUGAGUGCCUUGGCCCGCUGCUAUAAACACGUUGGGACUUUUCUUUUAAUGGAUGGUAUUUAGAUCCUGUGUGGGGC